GGGAAGGGAAGGGAAGGGAAGGGAGGGGAGGGGAGGGGAGGGGAGGGGAAGGGCACAAAAGUCGGAAAGAAAGAGAAGGAAAAGAGAAAAAGAGGAAGAGAAGAAUGAGAAAAGAAGAGAAAGGAGAGAAAGAGGAGAGGAGAGGAGUGACGGCACGGCACGGCACAGCCCAGUACAGCCCAGUACGGCCCAGUACAGCCCAGUAUGGCCCAGUACGGCCCAGUACUGCCCAGUACAGCCCAGUACAGCCCAGUACGGCCCAGUACGGCCCAGUACGGCCCAGUACGGCCCAGUACAGCCCACCCCAGCCCCGGCACUCACGGCAGGCGGCGGGGGUCUCGUCGGAGCCGUCCCGGCACUCGGUGCCGCCGUCGCACACCCACUUGGCGGAGAUGCAGGCCCCGUUCCCGCACUGGAACUGCCCCUGGCUGCACGGCUCGGCCCCUGCGGCACCCGGCACUGAGCGGCGGCACCGGCACCGGCCCCCAGACCCAAUUGGGGACCCCCCAGACCCAUAUUUGGGACCCUCCUGCCCCAUGAUGGAAGCCCCCAGCCCCAAUUUGGGACCCCCCAAGACCCAUUUUAGGACUCUCCAGCCCCAUUUUGGGAGCCCCCCAGACCCAUCUUGGAACCCCCAGCCCCAUUUUGAGACCCCUCAGACCCAUCUUGGAACCCCCAACCCCAUUUUGGGACCCCCCAGAUCCAUUUUGAGACCCCCAGGCCCAUUUUGGGACCCCCUGGACUCAUUUUGAGACCCCCUGGACCCAUUUGGGGACUCCUGGGACCAUUUCAGGACCCCACAGCCUCACUUUGGGACCCCCGGGGCCAUUUUGGGGCUAAACCCCACGAUUUGAGGCCCGAGCGCCAUUUGGGGGACACCUUUGGGGACUUUGGACUUUGCCUGGGGACCGCUGGGGCUCGAGGCCGCCCCCUGGGGCCCUUUUAAGCCCCUCUGGGCCCUUUUUAGGCCCCUUUGGGCCCUUUUUGGGCCCUUUCCGCCCUUUUCAGGCCGUUCCCAGCCCCCCCCGGCCCCCCCCCGGAGGUCCCGGGGUCCCCGCGGCCUCCCCCAGGCCCCGCCCCUCCGCGCUGCCAUUGGCCGCGGCCGCGGUGGCCAGUUGGGCCGCGGACCAAUAGGAAGCGCGGGACACGCCUCAAGGGGCGGUGCCGCGCACGGUGAUUGGGCCGGAACUGGGCAGAGCCGCCCUCGCCCCGCCCACCGCGCCCCCUGCCCUCAGUCAUGGCGGCGACCAUGAGGG
rnacentral:lncRNA from 1 species